GACGAACCGUGCGAACGUUGUUCGGAAUCACUGGGCUUAAAGGGCGCGUAGGCGGCUCGCGAGGUCGGGGGUGAAAUCCCGCGGCUUAACCGCGGAAGGGCCUCCGAUACCGGCGGGCUGGAGGAGGGUAGGGGUGCGCGGAACUUCUGGUGGAGCGGUGAAAUGCGUUGAUAUCAGAAGGAACGCCGGCGGCGAAAGCGGCGCACUGGACCCUUGCUGACGCUGAGGCGCGAAAGCCAGGGGAGCAAACGGG
rnacentral:rRNA from 1 species